CUUCGGGGUGCCCAGGCGCGAAAACUUUACAAUGCUGGCAACAGCGAUAAGCGGACCUUGAGUGCCAGGAUACAAUCCUGGCUGUCGUGAUGCCUAAAAAGCAUUAUAUAGCAAGGGCCGGGCAAGACCGGUGCCAGCCGCCGCGGUAACACCGGCGGCUCGAGUGGUAACCGCUAUUAUUGGGUCUAAAGGGUCUGUAGCCGGCUUGGUUAGUCUCUUGGGAAAUCCGGCAGCUUAACUGUCGGGCUUUCAGGAGAUACUGCCAGGCUCGAGACCGGGAGAGGUGAGAGGUACUUCAUGGGUAGGGGUGAAAUCUUGUAAUCCUUGAAGGACCACCAGUGGCGAAGGCGUCUCACCAGAACGGAUCUGACGGCAAGGGACGAAAGCUAGGGGCACGAACCGGAUUAGAUACCCGGGUAGUCCUAGCCGUAAACGAUACUCGCUAGGUGUCGGCCACGGUGCGACCGUGGUCGGUGCCGUAGGGAAGCCGUGAAGCGAGCCACCUGGGAAGUACGGCCGCAAGGCUGAAACUUAAAGGAAUUGGCGGGGGAGCAC
rnacentral:rRNA from 1 species